rnacentral:rRNA from 1 species
CCCUUAGAUGUUCUGGGCCGCACGCGCGCUACACUGACGGAGUCAACGAGUUGUCCUGCAUCGGAAGGUGUGGGUAAUCUUUUGAAGCUUCGUCGUGCUGGGGAUAGAUCUUUGCAAUUUUCGAUCUUGAACGAGGAAUUCCUAGUAAGCGUGAUUCAUCAGAUCGCGUUGAUUACGUCCCUGCCCUUUGUACACACCGCCCGUCGCUACUACCGAUUGAAUGGUUUAGUGAGGCCUCGGGACUGGCGCGCUCGAGUAGCAAUACACCUGCGCGCCGGGAACUUGGUCAAACUUGAUCAUUUAGAGGAAGUAAAAGUCGUANCA